rnacentral:rRNA from 1 species
UACGUAGGGACCAAGCGUUGUUCGGAUUUACUGGGCGUAAAGGGCGCGUAGGCGGCGUGGUAAGUCACUUGUGAAAUCUCUGAGCUUAACUCAGAACGGCCAAGUGAUACUGCUGUGCUAGAGUGCAGAAGGGGCAAUCGGAAUUCUUGGUGUAGCGGUGAAAUGCGUAGAUAUCAAGUGGAACACCAGUGGCGAAGGCGAGUCCCUGGACACUUCCUGACACUGAGGCACGAAAGCUAGGGUAGCAAACGGG